UAGUCAAAGCCAAAAAGAGGCCUACCACUGUUAAUGGUAUAAUUGAAAUUUAUUUCUGUCUAAGG
rnacentral:tRNA from 1 species